rnacentral:rRNA from 1 species
UGCCAGCAGCCGCGGUAAUACGUAGGGGGCGAGCGUUGUCCGGAAUUACUGGGCGUAAAGAGCGUGUAGGCGGGUAUCUAAGUCAGGUGUGAAAGACCGGGGCUCAACUCCGGGGUUGCACUUGAAACUGGAUAUCUUGAGGGCAGGAGAGGAAAGUGGAAUUCCUGGUGUAGCGGUGAAAUGCGUAGAUAUCAGGAGGAACACCGGUGGCGAAGGCGGCUUUCUGGACUGACCCUGACGCUGAGACGCGAAAGCGUGGGGAGCAAACAGGAUUAGAUA